UGUGUUCUGUAGUCUCUAGCUCCAGUACAUGUGAACUAUAUGUUGUGGUGUAAAUCAUUUUCAUUCUAUCUUAUAAACGUGUUUCUUCAAUAGCUAUUUUUGUUCAAGUCUUGUUGUCAUUGAUGUUAGCAUUUAGUUUGUCUCAAGUAAAAAAAAUACUAAAAAUACAGUGAAGAUAAUCUGAACCUCCCUAUGUAAAAUUUAGUUUGUCUAUAAUACUACUAGGAGAUGGGUGAGGGACUGAAAGGAUGAUAUGCUUCCAUGAAUUUAUUUGUAAGAAUUUUUUCUUGGCUCUGUACAAAUCAGCACAAAUAUGUGAGCCUCGGUUCUGAAAACUAAAGAAUUCAUAUAUUGCUAGAUAGACUAUGAUUUAGGAUAUGCUAAACAGAAAGCUUUAUAAGAUGGAACUAUCAAUUCAUCAUGACUUCACUUUGUCCUUUAAUUUAAUUUAAUUUAAUAUGGUUAGAACUACCAUGGUUUUUUAAGUAGUUGGCGCAUUAAGAAACAGUAUGCUGGAUGUUUGGCCUUGCAUUCGUCCUUCCAUGAAUUCAUGCUUGUACAUUGCUAGUUAUUGAUUUUUUUGCAAGUCUUCUUCUUCCUCGAUCUUGUGCAGCAGCAACAAUUCAAGGUCAUGGUCAUGGAGCAGCAGCCAUAUAUUUUUCUUCUUAUUCCUCCCUGAGAUGACAUGAGAUGAGGUUUGUUUUCCUCAAGGUCAAGGUGCAGCAGCUCGAUUUGAUUUGAUGUGAUUGGAUUCAGUUUCCUCAUGCUUCUCUGUUUGCAUUGCAGGCUCUGUUGGUCGGUCUUCAAUUCUUCAUGCUGUUGCUGCUACUGCUACAUGAGGACCCUCUUCAAUUCUGCAUCCAUUGCGGCCGCCGCAGCUUCCACCUCUACCCGGCCGCAUUCGCAAGUGUAAGCUCCCCCUCCCUCCGUCCUAGAUCUCUAGGUCUGUUGCUGUCAUGCGCCAUGUUCUUGAUGUUGCGCGACCUAAUGUGGAUGCCACGAACGGCGCUGCUCCUGUGUGCAGAUUUGAUUCACCGCAUUAGUAUGCGGUUGUUGUCUCGUCGUGGUUGCUCAAACUGAGAUGUACCCAGUUGAUUCGUCAUCUCGGGUCAUAAAUUUUUCUGCAUUCCCUGUUGCUGUAGCUUGUUGGAUGCAUAGUUUGAUCUCCCAAUGGGAAUUAUUAGUGAAUGGUGAUGUCUGUGGUCACGAGAAUGGUGAUGUAGUAGCUGGUAUGCUUGAUGCGUGUAAGUCCAUCUCUUUACUGUUUUGCUAGAACCAUAAAUCCUGAUGCGCAUGAUGAUCAUGGUCUGAUUUGUUAGAUCUAUUCUGCUGGUGCUUAAAAUUUGACAUGCCUGGAUUCUAAAACAAAUUUUACAGCAUUCUAUGUUGUAGCCAAACACUUGCUCUGUAUUUUAUAUUAAAACCAUGGUAUUGUGUACCUGCCAACUACGAGUAAAUUACUGAAGUUUUUAAUACUUUGGUUUUUUUGAUACUUUUUUUACAGAAAGGCAAUGGUCUGUAGUGAACUGAAGAUAGGAAAAAUGAUAUGUAAAUGCACUUUGAUCUGCUCAGUAGGAGCAAGAUGGAGUCGCUGGAGCAGAGCAGUCGAGUCUGCAUUUUGUUCUUCUGUCAGACAGACAUCCACAUGUUGUACCGAUUCUUAGUUCAGAGAUAGGAAUGUAUAAAUGGUUGCCGAUCUCUCCAUGCAUGGAACAGUAGCUUUUUAUGUAGGAUCCUUUCCGUAUAGAUGAGUCACAACAUUGAUUUGUUGAUCCAUUUGGAAACUAAAAGAAAGUACAGAGAGGACGAACUUGUUGGUAGAACUUCAUCAUAUUCAGCAGACGGAGUCCACGGGUGUAGCAUUUUGUCUAGUACACCCAACACCACCUGAGGAUCCAAUUCACUGUUAGAAAGUUAGAAAUUGAUAUUACAGGUUCCUUAUAGUGCAAACCAAAGCUGCUACUCCAACAACCAUCAAAUGAAACCAUGUUUUCUAAAAUUAAAGGGUCUGAUUGAUAUUGGUCCUUCUUUUGACAGAUAUAAUAUGUAUACUGACUUGUUAUUUUCUUCUCUAGCAAGCACUACGGCGUCAACUUUGUGGUGGCCGACGCGACGGCCAUCGAGCAUGACUUCUUCCCCAAGAACAACCUCAGCGUGGACAUCACGCCGUAGUACAUCAUGAUGGAGCUUGGCUAGAUGUACACAUAUUUUUUUACAACCUCUGCGUGCAUAUUUUUUUUACAAUGCACCAAAGUUUCUUGUUUCUGUUGUGAAAGUAAUGUAAAUGGUGUUACAUAGUUCUCAAUAAAAAUGCAAAUAACUUGUGAAUUUGUCUUCAUGUUGUAUAAGUCUCGACAAAGUUAAUUUGCAUAAUCCUUGACCUCCUCCUGCAAUCUCUCUUUCUCCCUUUCUUCUUUGAAUUUCCCGGUGUUGUAUAAGUCUGCAAGAUUCAGAUUUUAAGAGUACUUGCUCCCUGUACUAGUUACUUCUACUAUUUAUUUUUAGCUGUUUAGUACUACUCUGUAGAUCUGUGAUACUAGUCUAGUCGCUUGUAUAAUUUUGUUUAAUGGUGUAACCUGAAACAUUGAGUAGUACCCUGUUCGCAUAUGUGUGAUUAUGUGUGUUCUGUAGUCUCUAGCUCCAGUACAUGUGAACUAUAUGUUGUGGUGUAAAUCAUUUUCAUUCUAUCUUAUAAACGUGUUUCUUCAAUAGCUAUUUUUGUUCAAGUCUUGUUGUCAUUGAUGUUAGCAUUUAGUUUGUCUCAAGUAAAAAAAAUACUAAAAAUACAGUGAAGAUAAUCUGAACCUCCCUAUGUAAAAUUUAGUUUGUCUAUAAU
rnacentral:lncRNA from 1 species